rnacentral:rRNA from 1 species
CUGCGCAACGUUAAUCGACGCAGGGUUAGUCGGUCCCUAAGGCGAGGCUGAAAAGCGUAGUCGAUGGAAAACAGGUUAAUAUUCCUGUACUUCUGGGUAUUGCGAUGGAGGGACGGAGAAGGCUAGGCCAGCCUGGCGUUGGUAGUCCAGGUUUAAGGUGGUAGGCUGAGAUCUUAGGUAAAUCCGGGAUCUUAAGGCCGAGAG